UAUCACGUCUGUGACUGUGAGUGUGGCUAAUCACACAUUUAGUCACUGUUGCUGAUUGUUGGGAAGGUGUAGGUACACCCUUUGCGGGUGUUAUCCUGCAAGACGGGCAUCUCUAAAAAGAUGCCC
rnacentral:ncRNA from 1 species